UCGCAAUAGGGAUAGCAGUGGAAAUCCUUUUUUUGCCUGGACAAAUGUAAUUUCUUUGAUGAACCAUUAUGGCAAAAAAAGAUUGCAACGAAUAGCCCAGCCCGAG
rnacentral:sRNA from 1 species